AUUGAACGCUGGCGGCAUGCCUUACACAUGCAAGUCGAACGGCAGCACGGGUGCUUGCACCUGGUGGCGAGUGGCGAACGGGUGAGUAAUACAUCGGAACAUGUCCUGUAGUGGGGGAUAGCCCGGCGAAAGCCGGAUUAAUACCGCAUACGAUCUACGGAUGAAAGCGGGGGACCUUCGGGCCUCGCGCUAUAGGGUUGGCCGAUGGCUGAUUAGCUAGUUGGUGGGGUAAAGGCCUACCAAGGCGACGAUCAGUAGCUGGUCUGAGAGGACGACCAGCCACACUGGGACUGAGACACGGCCCAGACUCCUACGGGAGGCAGCAGUGGGGAAUUUUGGACAAUGGGCGAAAGCCUGAUCCAGCAAUGCCGCGUGUGUGAAGAAGGCCUUCGGGUUGUAAAGCACUUUUGUCCGGAAAGAAAUCCUUGGCCCUACUACGGUCGGGGGAUGACGGUACCGGAAGAAUAAGCACCGGCUAACUACGUG
rnacentral:rRNA from 1 species